UCCUAAUAUUAGACAUAUUUAUGUAAAUAUUAAAGAUAUAUGAAAAAUAAGUCAAAUAUUCUUAUAUAUUCCAAUUUUCAAAUCCAUUGUGGUGCUGGUGUUCAGAGGCAAAAUCACAAAAAUGGUCAAUGUCCAAAUACUUACAGACCUGACUGUAUAUUCACACACCGGCCAGCCGUAUGAGACCCCAGGCCAUGUGUUUAGAGUUCACGUUAAAAUAGCGUGAGGGUCUGAGAAACGUACAGGUAUCCGAGUCUCCUGAUAAUAAACCCAAAGUCAAGAUGAGAAGAAAACACAGGAAGAACAGAAUAUACUCUAAUCCCCAGGUGGAUAGCAGUUUACGAGGCAAAACAUACCGUCGAAUAUAGAGGUGUGACGAUUUAUCGAUCCAUUUCAAUCCGUGCUUCAAAAAUCGAUUAAAAUUUAAUGAUUCACGAACAAUACCUAAUUUCAUCCCGAUAACUCUAGAUGCGUAACAGAUUUUGACAAACGGCAUAAUUUUGAAAUAAAAAAUUCGAUUCGGUAUCCGGACCUGUACGCGGGCGCAGCCAUGUUUGUGGUUACUAUAGACCCUUUUCACGUGAUGUCACGACAAACAUGGCCGCCAUUUUGGACAUGUACUACCAGUAGUUUACCACAGCCAACAUUGAGGAACGGCAGCAAAGAAAGUGUUUACUUUCAGUAAGACUUCCAUCAUGCCACUAUAUUGUUGUGCACCUGGAUGUAGUAACCAUCAACAAACAAGGCAAGGUUUAUCAUUUUAUCAGAUCCCGACGGAGAAGAUGGAUAGCGGCCAUUAACAGAUUGGCAGCCCUCGGCAUACCAGCGCUUGUGUAGUGACCACUUUGUUGGAGGUAAGACGAAUAAAAUUAGCCAGAAAAGGCAUUACAUUGCUGUUAGCAUUCUGUGGCAGCGAGUGUGUAACCAAAUAGGCUAAAAUAACCCAUUGCAACCUCUGUUCUUCUGUAGUAGCUAUUAGCUAACGACAUUAGCUAGCGUUGUGUUCCUUUGCUGUUGGUAGACUGUAGGACAGAUCAGAGGCAGUGUCCUACAAACAGCGCUUAAUUUGAGGGGGAGCAAGCCGGAGCGCGCUCCGGAACCUCGGGCGUUGGCUCCGGCAGCUAUUUACACUGGAUCCGGUGAUCCGACACCUCUUUUGACUAUGUAACAAAAAAAACAAAUAAUUAAAUAAAAAAAUGCAAGUUUAUUUAGUGUUAAUGUCUGAUUUUGAUAUCUGUCUUGUUGGUGAUUUCUCUCAUGAAACGACAUCCACAAAAUAUCUGCAGAUGAACUUAAUUUGCAGUGUUAUUACAAAACAUGCCCAGAAGCGCAGCACCGCGCCGCGCCCCCCUCUCCCCCUCUUUUUUUCCGCACCGGAGCCGCUCAUCCUCUGCGCUCCGGGACCUCCCACUUUACAAAUUAAGCACUGCCUACAAAUAAGUGUCCAAAAUAAGAGGAACAUGUAUUUGUCUCUUAAAUCCAGGCCGUUCCCUGUAAUCUGUAACAACGGUUGGAGAAAGUAAUGGCAAAUAGUGAGUGGACAAACCAUAGAAGGUAAACUGUACACAGCGCCAGGGCAGUGUGAUGGUAUGUCUACUUUUAGAUUGUGUUAGCUUAUCAAUGAACACACUCGUCACUCGACGAGUUUCACGUCUUUACGACGGAUACUUUAAUGUGUGUUAGGUAUUAUUGUUGCAGUCUAAGCAGUCAUUGUAGCAGCUAGAUGAGCGAGAACCGAAAGGGUCUGUGCCAUAAACCGUUAUUUCUGUACGGCGUUGCUAAUGUGUCGUUACUGUUGUUAUUUCUCCCUCUGCUCGCCCUGUAAAUGCCCUACGUCGCUGGAUAGCGAAGGUGUUUUCUGCAUCUCGCUCCUUUUUCUUGUAUGUUCUCCGUUUGUCGCCUUCCUCGCAUUCAAACCAAUUCGAGCCGAAGUCCGCUACAUGUCCAAAAUGGUGGUCGCGUUUAUGAAGGUCACGUGACUGAAAAGGGUCUAUAGCAGUCUCAUGAGAUCACGUCCUGCUUUGUGAACAACAUGGCGGACGACUUGGAAUUCCUGAAGCCACCAGAUUUUAAAAUCCCAGUUUGGCUGCAUUUCUUACAAUCUCGUGACCGGAAACAAGUGUUGUAUAAACUGUGCGAGUCUAAGUUUCCUCAUCAUGGCAAUAAAUUAUUGCUGUCUGAGAACUUUAUUGAAUCUCAGUGCCUCGUGUACUGUCUGGAUAAUAAGUGUUGCGUCUCAAGAGGUGGUCUUCACUUUUACACAAGUGACUGUAUUUUUGUGUUUUUAAAAGAUUGAGACAAAAGUCAUGAAGUUUUCGUUGCUUUUUUUUUUUUUUUAUCCCCCGCUGGCCGAAAGGCCCGAAGGGGGAUUAUGUCGUGGCGAUGUCCGUCCAUCCCGGGAAGGGUGCUUACCUUCUGAAAUCAGCUCCUCUCACAAUUUUUGGAUGAAUUUCUCGAAGCUUGGCAAAAGGCCUUGUUAUAUGAUGGUGAUCCGCAGAUUGCGAUUUAAUUUAAUUUGUGAAAAUUUUACCAGAGUUUUGACCCUUGAUUAAAUAACUCGUACUUUGACAAUUUCAUGAGGGUGUACGUUCUUCUGAAAUCAACUCCUCUCUCAAUUUGUGGAGGAAUUUCACCAAACUUGGCAAAAGGCUUUGGUAUAUGACACUUAUGAUUGAAAUUUCGUUUAAUUUGGGCAAAUUUUACCAGAGUUAUACCCUUGAUUAUUAACAAACUUGUACUUUGGCAAGUUCAUCAAGGUGUGCUUGCUUUCUGAAAUCAACGUCCCUCACAAUUUUUAUCCCCCGCUGGCCGAAAGGCCCGAAGGGGGAUUAUGUCGUGGCCAUGUCCGUCCGUCCAUCCCGGGAAGGGUACUCACCUUCUGAAAUCAACUCCUUUCACAAUUUUUGGAGGAAUUUCACAAAACUUGGCAGGAUUCUUCGUUAUAUGUCGGUAAUACGCAUCUUCCAAUUUCGUUCAAUUCAGUCGCAUUUUACCAGAGUUAUGGCCAAGUUGCCAGCGGGGGAUAUUUUUUUGUGGUUUGAAAAUUAAAAUGUACCAAAAAUGACUGAACUGUGAUACAUUCAUAGUUACAUUCAAAGUCAAUGGAUUGACUGGAGUCUGAAUAAAGACUACAAAGGCAACACUGUUUGUUUUUUAAUGCUCGACAUUUCUACGCUGACAGUUAACAAAAUAUUGACAAAAAAUGUGAAUCGUGAUUCGAAUCGAAUCGGAAGGUCAAACUCGUGAAUUGAAUCAUGAAAAAACAGCUUCGUCACACCUCAAAAGCGUCGCCACGUGAAAAGUACAAGUCACAUUGGAAAAAAAUUUCAUCACAAGAAGCGUCACAAGGCUUCUGCGAAGACAGUCAUGUCUUUUUUACGGUGUGGGAUCUGUCACCAUUUUAAAACUGCCAUCAUGUCUGUUUUUGACAUAAACUUCUUCAGAGCUUCAGACAGUUAAUGCACGUUUUACUCAACACUCUUUGCCCUUACAGGCGAUUUAAAGAAAAACUGUAAGUCAGCUGACGGUGAGAGCGAUGCUGAGGGACAGACAACACAUUUAUCUACCUUUUGAUUUUGAAAUUGUCCGUGUAUAGGUUGGAAAUUGCAUAAAAAAGCAUAAAACUUAAACUGUGAUUUUGUAAAAACCCGUAAUAGCUUUCAAAACAUUGACUUAACCCAGAAAUUCUCAAGUCAUGUGACCUGUUUAAAGUUUCACCAAUGUGUCUGUGUUGAGUUCUGACGGCACAGUGCGGGGUGGGUUUGAUUUGAUUUUGACGACGACUCCCCAUUCAUUCCUAUAUGAGAAAUUUUUGCAGUCCCCCCCCUUGUCGUCGCCAUGGUUACUCGAAACACUGAGAAAAGAUAUAGCACACCAUUCCUGAUCGAACCGCAUGUUUUGAUGUAGGGGUUUUCUCAAAGCUGCGGGAUUAGUUAGAUGCCGAAAUUUUGGCGGAAGAGGAAAAAGAAUAAUAAUAAUAAUAAGCCUGAGCGAGGGCAGCACGGUGGUGUAGUGGUUAGCGCUGUCGCCUCACAGCAAGAAGGUCCAGAUUCGAGCCCCGUGGCCGGCGAGGGCCUUUCUGUGUGGAGUUUGCAUGUUCUCCCCGUGUCCACGUGGGUUUCCUCCGGGUGCUCCGGUUUCCCCCACAGUCCAAAGACAUGCAGGUUAGGUUAACUGGUGACUCUAAAUUGAGCGUAGGUGUGACUGUGAGUGUGAAUGGUUGUCUGUGUCUAUGUGUCAGCCCUGUGAUGACCUGGCGACUUGUCCAGGGUGUACCCCGCCUUUCGCCCGUAGUCAGCUGGGAUAGGCUCCAGCUUGCCUGCGACCCUGUAGAACAGGAUAAAGCGGCUAGAGAUAAUGAGAUGAGAUGAGAAGCCUGAGCAAUUGUAAUAUAUGCUUUGCUUUGUAUAGCAGGUACAUAAGGACGAAAUGGAUAAAAAAAAUCUGAAGCUGGUGGUUUAGAAAUGAAAAGUUCAGACGUGUGUGUGCAUUACGUACAUGGAUAAAUGUUUUAUGAGCGCAUACAUGCAACAUCAGUUUGUGUGAGUGAAAACAUACGAACCGGGAUGGAUCUUAAUCACUGAAUCAUGGGUUUUAAUCAUAGAGGGGGAAAAAUGGACAUGCGGAAAGACCUGAGCGACUUUGACAAGGGCCAGAUUGUGAUGGCGAAGCGACUGGGUCUGAGCGUCUCUGAAACGGCGGAUCUCGUGGGAUGUUCCGAGUUUGCCGUGCAAGAGAUCAUGAGCGAGACGGACAAGGACAAGGACGCCGUCUCGACGAAAGAGAAGGUUGGAGCGGGGGCGGAGAAGAGAAGCAGACGUAAACCGCGAAAGAACCCAUAGAUCUGAGACGAUCCCAUCACGGCUUCCAGUCUGCAGGGGAUCAUCCUGGCAUCUCACACCACAAGUAUCUUUCUCGGACAAGAAAAUACCUGUCUGUGUGUGUGUGUGUGUGUGUGUGUGUGUGUGUGUGUAAUAUACGUAUUGCACACACUGAGAUGAAGUCUGUUUGAAGGUUUACUUGAAGACCCGGAUCCGGAUAAGCAGUAGAAAAUGGAUGGAUGGAGGGUUUACUUGAAGACAGUUGAGCGCUGACUGAAGAUUAAUGAAUGAAUUUGAAACUUUGCUCGUUUUACACUUAAUUCAUGCACUUGUGUGUCAUGCAGUGUGGUUUAUGUUUUUAUAUAUAAACUCAAUGUUGUUUCUAUCGUAAGAACUCAUUCAUAUGCAUUUUGUACAGUAAACACUCCACAUAAUCUAUGACUGAUAAUAAACAUGAGAAAAAAAACACAAUUGUUAUUUAACAAGGAAAAAUUUGUAAUCAUUGAUGUGAAGUUUUCUGUCAGGAGAAAUGUGUUUAUUGGAUAUUUAUGGAAGGAGCCUCCACUGCCAGGACUUCGAGGUAAAGCUGUAAAGUUGGACGUUUUCUGGUUCUUUUUUUUUUUUAUCUACUCUAAUGUGCAUUUUAUAUUUUGUUCUUUGGUAGUAAAAAU